rnacentral:rRNA from 1 species
GAUGAACGCUGACAGGAUGCUUAACACAUGCAAGUCGGCUCGAGUCUUCGGACUUGGGUGGCGCACGGGUGAGUAACGCGUAAAGAACUUGCCUCUUAGACCGGGACAACGUUUGGAAACGGAUGCUAAUACCGGAUAUUAUGGUUUCCUCGCAUGGGGGAAUCAUGAAAGCUACAUGCGCUAAGAGAGAGCUUUGCGUCCCAUUAGCCCGUUGGUGAGGUAACGGCCCACCAAGGCAAUGAUGGGUAGCCGGCCUGAGAGGGUGAACGGCCACAAGGGGACUGAGACACGGCCCUU